GGUUCUGUGGCGCAGUUGGUAGCGCGCCGUCUUAACAGUACACCUGUUUAACCUCCGGCGAAGGUCUCCGGUUCGAUCCCGGACGGAAUCA